CUUCUUCACUUUCCUCAUCCAUCAACUGCAGGAAACGUCACCUGCACACCUAUAUAGUGACUACAUGGGGCUGAUGGGAGGAUUCGUAGGAGGGAAAGCCGGUUAUAAACAAAUAUGACCUUCUCUGAAGCUCUGAAGACAGCAGCCAUACAAAGGAAAACUUCCAGAGCAAUAUUCUGCUCCAACACUGUGACGUGUGCCCUCCCUCCUGCACCACUGCCCCUCGACGCCUCCGUGGAACAUCUGCCCCGGGUUCCAUGGCCCUCUGUGGGUCUGUGCCCGCACUGUGCCCCCCACGGCAGAAGGAACCAGGCUGACAUUUAUCUGUGCACCCCAGUUCUCUUACUGCAUGGUUUGUACUCAAUAAAUGGCUACUCAUUUACUU